UCUUCUGCAGCUCCAGUUUCAACACUGAAUCCAGUCAGCAGCUCAAACUCUGAGACGACAUCGAGCCGGACUACAGCAGCAGCUCCUACACAAGCUCAAGCUGAUUUAACGACAACAGUGAAUACUACAGAAGUGAUUAUGAUUGUUGUCGGCGCUUCAUUCAUUCUUCUCCUUCUUGCUCUGAUUCUUUGGCUGAUGAUUCGUAAAAAAAGAUCCGCUGUCAGAAGAGCGACUGAUGACUUUGUGAUGAUGACAAGAAUAUUUCUACUGUUUCUGCUCUAAAGAUCAGCGAUAGAAAUAAAUAUAAUGGACCAGUGACACAAUCAACAUUUCCAUUCAUCCUGCUCCUGCUGAACAAUAUGAUUCAUCUUCA